CAAGGGUUUGGCUGUUCGCCAAUUAAAGCGGUACGCGAGCUGGGUUCAGAACGUCGUGAGACAGUUCGGUCCCUAUCUGUCGUGGGCGUAGGAGAAUUGAGAGGAGCUGUUCCUAGUACGAGAGGACCGGAACGGAGCGACCAACGGUGUACCUGUUGUCCUGCCAAGGGCAUCGCAGGGUAGCCGAGUCGCGAAGGGAUAACCGCUGAAAGCAUCUAAGUGGGAAGCCCACCUCAAGAUGAGUUCUCCCCUCUUCGGAGAUAAGUCCCCUUGAAGACGACGAGGUUGAUAGGCCGGAAGUGGAAGCGCGGUGACGCGUGGAGCUAACCGGUACUAAUCGGACGAAGGACUUGAUCUACAA
rnacentral:rRNA from 1 species